rnacentral:rRNA from 1 species
AUUGAACGCUGGCGGCAUGCCUUACACAUGCAAGUCGAACGGUAACGCGGGGCAACCUGGCGACGAGUGGCGAACGGGUGAGUAAUAUAUCGGAACGUGCCCAGUAGUGGGGGAUAGCCCGGCGAAAGCCGGAUUAAUACCGCAUACGACCUGAGGGUGAAAGCGGGGGAUCGCGAGACCUCGCGCUAUUGGAGCGGCCGAUAUCAGAUUAGGUAGUUGGUGGGGUAAAGGCCCACCAAGCCGACGAUCUGUAGCUGGUCUGAGAGGACGACCAGCCACACUGGGACUGAGACACGGCCCAGACUCCUACGGGAGGCAGCAGUGGGGAAUUUUGGACAAUGGGCGCAAGCCUGAUCCAGCCAUGCCGCGGGCGGGAAGAAGGCCUUCGGGUUGUAAACCGCUUUUGUCAGGGAAGAAACGCUCUGGGCUAAUUCCCUGGGGUAAUGACGGUACCUGAAGAAUAAGCACCGGCUAACUACGUGCCAGCCGCCGCGGUAA